UACGGGGGGAGCAAGCGUUGUUCGGAUUUACUGGGCGUAAAGGGCGCGUAGGCGGUCAGCACAAGUCAGUUGUGAAAUCUCCGGGCUUAACUCGGAAAGGUCAACUGAUACUGUGCGACUAGAGUGCAGAAGGGGCAACUGGAAUUCUCGGUGUAGCGGUGAAAUGCGUAGAUAUCGGGAGGAACACCUGUGGCGAAGGCGGCCCCCUGGUUGGAUACUGACGCUGAGACGCGAAAGCGUGGGGAGCAAACAGG
rnacentral:rRNA from 1 species